rnacentral:rRNA from 1 species
GAUGAACGCUGGCGGCGUGCCUAAUACAUGCAAGUCGAGCGAACAGACGAGGAGCUUGCUCCUCUGACGUUAGCGGCGGACGGGUGAGUAACACGUGGAUAACCUACCUAUAAGACUGGGAUAACUUCGGGAAACCGGAGCUAAUACCGGAUAAUAUAUUGAACCGCAUGGUUCAAUAGUGAAAGACGGUUUUGCUGUCACUUAUAGAUGGAUCCGCGCCGCAUUAGCUAGUUGGUAAGGUAACGGCUUACCAAGGCAACGAUGCGUAGCCGACCUGAGAGGGUGAUCGGCAACACUGGAACUGAGACACGGUCCAGACUCCUACGGGAGGCAGCAGUAGGGAAUCUUCCGCAAUGGGCGAAAGCCGGACGGAGCAACGCCGCGUGAGGGAUGAAGGUCUUCGGAUCGUAAAACUCUGUUAUUAGGGAAGAAAAAAUGUGUAAGUAACUAGGCACGUCUUGACGGUACCUAAUCAGAAAGCCACGGCUAACUACGU